GUGCUCACUUCAGCAGCACAUAUACUAAAACUGGAAAAAUACAAAGAAGAUAAGCAUGGCCCAUCUGCAAGGAUGACACACAAAUUUGUGAAGUGUUCCAUAUUUUU